CCAUCAGUUCCACUUCUGAUCUCUUGUCUUUUAAUUUCAGGUCCUCCAUUUCCACGGAGUUGAGCUGUGUCCUAGCUUGUUAGACUGCUGUGGUCAUGUCAUUGGAAAUAUGGAGGAUGUGCAGGGCGUAGCAGGAGGAUGGCUUACCACUCUAUCCUCUGCAGGCUUUCCACUGACACCCAGGUCCAGAUCUUCAGUAUACUUCGUUUGGAGUCCUGUUUCUGUCCAUCUGAUGAAUCUGUCAGCAGGACUUGUUACUUCACACAUCAACACUACAAUGACCUGGAGAGCCAGCGUGUACGACCAGUGUGUCACAGCCAUACCGGAAACCCAUUUUAUGCUGCCCUCUCUUGGUGUCCUCCCAGCGGCACAUUUCUUCCGUAUUUCUCCCGAUGUUGACAAAAUGGUCCAAAAAGUCAAAAUGUUAAGCAUUUUAAAGUCAUUGUAUAGUAUGUUGAAAAACGGCAUACUAUAGCAUGUCAGAAAAUGGUUGAAAAAGUCAUCAAUCCAAAUGUCUAAAAGAGUUAGUAUUGCAAGUUUACCCCCACGGCGAACCCCGAGAAUGUCACCAAGCCAAGAAGAGAAGCAUCUGCUAUUCUUCUGGCUCUUGCUCCCAAACCUCCUCCGAGGAAGGUUGCAGGUCUGGAGGACCUGCUCCCCCUUUCCCCACUCUCACACCUAAGCUUGGCAGGAGCUGCAGACUUGUUUCAGCUCUACUCUUCAAGCCCAAAGCGUCUUUGCAGAAGUUAGAAAGUCACAGCUAACUUCUCAAACCACAAGGAGAACAGAACUGAGAUAGCAUUGAACUGCUAUCUCUGUAAGGACACCAGGACCGGCCAGCCUCCUCCUGGAUCCUGGGAACUGCACAGCAGUGACUGAACCUGAACCU